UCGGUGCUGUGUACGAACGGUUGUGUAUUUUUUUUUCACAACCCUGCGUAAUCUUACCCGAGUUACGUUAAAUAUUGGUUGCGUAAAGAGUUUCUUCAAUAAGAGGUUACGAUUUCACGUCAAUUCCCGCCAAGCACCCCGUUUCACAACAGUUGUGUACAUGAAUUUACCACGUGACUUGAGACAGCCAAUCAGCCGUCAUAAAAGUUUGUACGCAAACUUUUGAUAUCCAAAAUGGAGAGUGCCAAGGAAUUGCUUUGCGAUUGAGGGUUCGAGUCACGUCAGCCGUCAAAAUUUUGAGGAGGCCUAUGGAGCUGAGUGAGGAUGAGGAUCCAGUUUUGCAAGAUAAAACGACACCAAAACCAAGAAAGAGGGUCAGAUGCCCCUAUGAAUUUGAUGUUGAAAGGUAGAAACGGAAGGGGCUUGCUGGAGGCAUUAACUCGAGGAUGGGUUCUAAACAACAGCGAGAGAUUCAACUCAAAAUUCUAAACAACAGCGAGAGAUUCAACUCAAAAUUCAACUCAACUGAGUGUUGGUUAGCCAUCUAAUUGAAGAGCAUUGAUGGAACCCACCAUCACAAGUGAAGGAAAGCCUUGCGCACAGCCUUGUGGAUCAAUUCAAAAUUUUGAAGGACAUCAACGGAAUCACAGGGUAUGAAGGAACAUCCAUUGAAUAUUAUUUGGCCUAUCUUGAUGCAAAGGAUCAACCACAGCCUUUCUUGUUGAUCCUUGGAGGCACCCGGUGGAAACCGAGCCAGGUUUUGUCAUUGUCGAGCGUAACACCGUCCAGUGUACAUGUACUUCCAUCAUGCAAGCUAUAGACGUCUGCUUUAAGUUAACCUAUGUGCUGGAUGUUGACUACCACACCCAGUGUUCUCCUGCAUGGCAAAUAUGCUCCAGCAAUUGGUGUAUGAAUUGCCUCCCGGUGCUUUGAGUGGUGUUGUCCUGCUCAGCUUUUGAACUUUGCUGGGCAACAUCAAGAAGGAAUUUUAGUCUGAAUAGGCAGCAUUCAGUACUAAGGAAGCAAGUAACAGUAGUUUUGUAUUAAAUAGGCGAUUUCUCUUGGUUCUCCUUGUUAAUGAUUAAAGACUUAGACCGUAACCAAAACUGAAAUGGACAAAUCAUAUACCAUUUGAAAGCUUAUAAGCUACUUAAGACAGAAAAGCAAGUUUUGUUUCACAAAAUGAGCAUUUGGGGGUACGGAACACAAAUGCUCAUAAUUCAAAAGCCAGGUGUCAUUACUCUGUUUUGCUUCACAAAAUGAGCACUCCCAAAUUAUGGGGGGGGGGGGAUCAGGUUCUGCAGAUACAUUGAAUUAUCUGUUCCCAUUAUAAUUUGUCACUUGCAUCCUUUUGACUAAACAGUAUUUCAUAAUUCAAAAGUCAAGAAAUAUUACUUUUGUUGCUCACAUGUCAAGUACGUCUCGUAAAGUAAAAAAAAAAUAUUAACAAAAGUUUUGAGAAAGCUGUCACUUCCUUUUUUCAAACCAUGACAGAGUAUCAAUGUGAAAAUGACAAAAACUCAUCUGGAUGGAUAUCUGGACUAAAUUGCAACAUAUGUGUUGACACAUACAAACAACCUGGUAUUGUUUAUUUAUAUUUUUGCAAAUGUUUACAUUGUUUAUGGAUGAAAGUUAAAUGGAAUAUGAUAGCUAAAUGUGAGAGUUAUUGGUUAUGUCACAUCUGGAUCAAUCAAGGACUUUGAGAUGGGGACUGCCUUUUUACUUUCCAGCUCUUGUUAUAUUUUUGGCUUAUAUGAAAUUUUCUCAUGCAAAUUGCCUGUGAUCCUCUUCAAGUUGUAACAGUCAUGAAGCUUUUGAUUUAUCACUUCUCCCAUUAAAAUUGGCUGUUUUCAAUGAAAAGAGAAUACAUCAAAAUUUAAGGGUUAUGAACAAGGAAAAACGUAUCAACGGGGCCUUAAUUCAUAAUUGAUAGGUUAAACAUAUAUGUAUUUAACAUAGUUUGAGCUCAGUCGAAACUGGUUUAUAUUACUGCAGAUGUUUCACUGAAAUAUUGUUGCCAAGUUGUCUAUGUAGUCAAAUAUCUAUUGAAAAUUCAACAAUGCAGAGAAGUCAAACAUUGUAUAGAUAUUACUAUAAAACGGAUUAAGUAGCUGAAAAAUUGUUUCACUUUUGUGUCCAACUUCAAAUGUCAUCAAAAUGUAUUGAUGUGUUUAUAAACAUAUCUACAUAUCUAUAGAAUAUGUAAACAGAUUACAACCUCACAGUCCAUCACCAAUAAUGCCUUCUUUUCUGAGAGCAACAAGUCCUCAAAUAUUUGAGUGCAUGUCGGAUAUAGUUCAACCCUAAGAAGACUGGGGGGGGGGGGCUGAUUGCAGCCCCCCCCCCUCAACAUUUUUCGCGAUAAAUCCGCCGCGCGAAAUUUUUUGACCGCGUCACUCAAUGACUUUUUACGUUCAAGUCUCUUGCAACUUAUGAGACCAGAAUUUUGAUCCCCCGGUGCGCAGUUCCGAAAAUACACAACAUUUUGUAAGUGCAUGCAGACCCCAAAUUACUCAAAAUCAUGAAUUUGUGUACAAAUCCAAUGCAA